AAUAAACUUGUGAACCAUAAAUUCAAAUGUUAUAUACCCAAAUUUCUAUGAUUAAGUGUCAUUAUGUGUGGCUUUUGUGGUAUACAAAUUCUAUAAAAUUCAAUUUUUCUAAAAACAUUGUCAAAUUUGGUGUGGACACUUCCCUAUUGCUAUAGAACACCCAUAAAAAAAUUCAAGUGCAAACAAAAAAAAACAUGUCACAUUUGGUUCAUGGGGUUGGAUGGUUUCUGAGAGAUCUACCUAGAUGGUU
rnacentral:lncRNA from 1 species